rnacentral:lncRNA from 1 species
CAAUUAAUAUCAUGGUGAAAUCUAAAUGAAUAUUUUAAUCACAACACAAAUUAAUUACGUAAACAACAAUAAUCUCAAAUGGAAAUUGGAAUUGAAAUAUUACCCCCACAGAACAUAUACACUACUGCAUCCAGUAAUUGUUGCAUAAUCAAAACAAUAUGGAAUCCGGCGAUGUCGCGACAUGAACAAUAUCAGAUCCAAACCUUGAAUCAAACUCAUAACCUACAUAAAAACAGACAGCAAUCCAAACAGAAUAGAAACACAAAGUUCACAUAUUCGAAAUCGAAAAAGCAGAGUUGAAUUAAAAAUGAGAAUUCAGAAUCGAAUUUUGCUGUAAGUUACUACACAAUGGUAUUGUUCAAAAGAGAUUCAAGCCCUCUUCUCAAGUUGAGUUAGCUCAAAAUCAACAUUAUGGUUCACCGAGAUUAUUUCGUAAGGCCGACACAGUUUUCAGAUCCACCAACAAGGGUAUCGUUCCCGCUCAAUUAAACUACUUAAAGACCAUCAAUCUAGACAAAUUCAUCCACAUCAAGAGGAUCGAAAUCAGAAGCAUUGAUCAUAUGAGCCAAUUAAACAUGAAACUCUUCUUCCUGUAAAAGAUUGAAAUCCAUCGCACCUCGAUGUCGUUGUUUGAACGGUUAUGAAUAACGGUUGGAUAGGGAGACAAUGAAAGACAAGGAAUAUGUUUCAAAAUUUAUUUCACGGCAGUUUGAAAGAAAUGGUAUGCGUUUGGUGGAUGGUUGAAGUGUCGAUGAAAUUGGGUCUGACAAAAAGGAUUGUAGACGUUUGGAAAGGGUGACGGAGUGUAACAAUGGCGGAGGGAGAUGUCGCACAGAGCACGAUGGUGUGUGGUUUGUUUGGAGGGUGCGGUUAUGAUGGGUUUCGCUGUAGCUUUUGUGUGGCUGAGAUGAAUCUCACAUGGUUUGGAAGGAGUUUUAAGAAAAAAC